AAAUGCGAUAAGUAGUGUGAAUUGCAGAAUUCAGUGAAUCAUCGAAUCUUUGAACGCACAUUGCGCCCCUUGGUAUUCCAUGGGGCAUGCCUGUUCGAGCGUCAUUUGUACCCUCAAGCUUUGCUUGGUGUUGGGCGUCUUGUCUACCUCUUUAGCGGGUAGACUCGCCUUAAAGUAAUUGGCAGCCAGUGUUUUUGGCAGUAAGCGCAGCACAUUUUGCGUCUUAGUCCCUAAACAGUGGCAUCCACAAAGCCUCUUUCUCACUUUUGACCUCGGAUCAGGUAGGGAUACCCGCUGAACUUAAGCAUAUCAAUAAGCGGAGGAAAAGAAACCAACAGGGAUUGCCCUAGUAACGGCGAGUGAAGCGGCAACAGCUCAAAUUUGAAAUCUGGCUCUUUCAGAGUCCGAGUUGUAAUUUGCAGAGGGCGCUUUGGCGUUGGCAGCGGUCCAAGUUCUUUGGAACAGGACGUCACAGAGGGUGAGAAUCCCGUACGUGGUCGCUAGCCUUCGCCGUGUAAAGCCCCUUCGACGAGUCGAGUUGUUUGGGAAUGCAGCUCUAAAUGGGAGGUAAAUUUCUUCUAAAGCUAAAUACUGGCCAGAGACCGAUAGCGCACAAGUAGAGUGAUCGAAAGAUGAAAAGCACUUUGGAAAGAGAGUCAAAUAGCACGUGAAAUUGUUGAAAGGGAAGCGCUUGCAGCCAGACUUGCCUGUAGUUGCUUAUCUGGACUUUUGUCCAGUGCACUCUUCUGCGGGCAGGCCAGCAUCAGUUUGGGCGGUUGGAUAAAGGUCUCUGUCAUGUACCUCCUUU
rnacentral:rRNA from 1 species